rnacentral:rRNA from 1 species
AUAGCUUGCUAUUUUUAUGAAGAGCGGCGAACGGGUGAGUAACGCGUGGGAAAUCUGCCGAGUAGCGGGGGACAACGUUUGGAAACGAACGCUAAUACCGCAUAACAAUGAGAAUCGCAUGAUUCUUAUUUAAAAGAAGCAAUUGCUUCACUACUUGAUGAUCCCGCGUUGUAUUAGCUAGUUGGUAGUGUAAAGGACUACCAAGGCGAUGAUACAUAGCCGACCUGAGAGGGUGAUCGGCCACACUGGGACUGAGACACGGCCCAGACUCCUACGGGAGGCAGCAGUAGGGAAUCUUCGGCAAUGGGGGCAACCCUGACCGAGCAACGCCGCGUGAGUGAAGAAGGUUUUCGGAUCGUAAAACUCUGUUGUUAGAGAAGAACGUUAAGUAGAGUGGAAAAUUACUUAAGUGACGGUAUCUAACCAGAAAGGGACGGCUAACUACGUGCCAGCAGCCGCGGUAAUACGUAGGUCCCAAGCGUUGUCCGGAUUUAUUGGGCGUAAAGCGAGCGCAGGUGGUUUCUUAAGUCUGAUGUAAAAGGCAGUGGCUCAACCAUUGUGUGCAUUGGAAACUGGGAGACUUGAGUGCAGGAGAGGAGAGUGGAAUUCCAUGUGUAGCG